rnacentral:rRNA from 1 species
ACUCAAAGGAAUUGACGGGGGCUCACACAAGCGGUGGAGCAUGUGGUUCAAUUCGAAGCAACGCGCAGAACCUUACCUGGGUUUGACAUUCUAGGAUUAUCCGGGUGAAAGUCCGGUAGGCCUCGCAAGAGGUACAACUAGAACAGGUGCUGCAUGGCUGUCGUCAGCUCGUGUCGUGAGAUGUCGGGUUAAGUCCCUUAACGAGCGAAACCUUUACCCUUAGUUACCAGCGGGUUAUGCCGGGGACUCUAAGGGGACUGCCGGUGUCAAACCGGAGGAAGGUGGAGAUGACGUCAAGUCCUCAUGGCCUUUAUGCCCAGGGCCACACACGUGCUACAAUGGCGUGCAUAAAGCGAACCUAAAGCGCAAGCUCAUGGAAAUCGCAAAAAUCACGCCCCAGUUCAGAUCGGAGGCUGCAACUCGCCUCCGUGAAGUUGGAAUCGCUAGUAAUCGCGGAUCAGCUACGCCGCGGUGAAUGUGUUCCUGAGCCUUGCACACACCGCCCGU